UACGGAGGGGGCUAGCGUUGUUCGGAAUUACUGGGCGUAAAGCGCACGUAGGCGGCUUUGUAAGUUAGAGGUGAAAGCCCAGGGCUCAACCCUGGAAUUGCCUUUAAGACUGCAUCGCUUGAACAUCGGAGAGGUAAGUGGAAUUCCGAGUGUAGAGGUGAAAUUCGUAGAUAUUCGGAAGAACACCAGUGGCGAAGGCGACUUACUGGACGAUUGUUGACGCUGAGGCGCGAAAGCGUGGGGAGCAAACAGG
rnacentral:rRNA from 1 species